rnacentral:rRNA from 1 species
UACGAAGGGGGCUAGCGUUGCUCGGAAUCAUUGGGCGUAAAGCGCACGUAGGCGGAUCUUUAAGUCAGGGGUGAAAUCCCAAGGCUCAACCUUGGAACUGCCUUUGAUACUGGGGAUCUCGAGUCCGGAAGAGGUUGGUGGAACUGCGAGUGUAGAGGUGAAAUUCGUAGAUAUUCGCAAGAACACCAGUGGCGAAGGCGGCCAACUGGUCCGGUACUGACGCUGAGGUGCGAAAGCGUGGGGAGCAAACAGG